rnacentral:rRNA from 1 species
AAAAACAUCGCCUCUUGCAAAACUGAGAAAUAAGAGGUCCCGCCUGCCCUGUGACUAUAUGUUUAACGGCCGCGGUAUUUUGACCGUGCGAAGGUAGCGCAAUCACUUGUCUUUUAAAUGGAGACCUGUAUGAAUGGCAUAACGAGGGCUUAGCUGUCUCCUUUUUCAAGUCAAUGAAAUUGAUCUCCCCGUGCAGAAGCGGGGAUAACACCAUAAGACGAGAAGACCCUAUGGAGCUUUAGACACCAAGGCAGAUCAUGUUAAACACCCCUUCACAAAGGACCAAACCAGAUGAACCCUGCCCUAAUGUCUUUGGUUGGGGCGACCGCGGGGAAACAAAAAACCCCCACGUGGAAUGGGAAUACCCCUCCUACAACUAAGAGCUCCCGCUCUAAUGACCAGAAUUUCUGACCAAUCAGAUCCGGCAACGCCGAUCAACGGACCGAGUUACCCUAGGGAUAACAGCGCAAUCCCCUUUUAGAGCCCAUAUCGACAAGGGGGUUUACGACCUCGAUGUUGGAUCAGGACAUCCUAAUGGUGCAGCCGCUAUUAAGGGUUCGUUUGUUC